CCUCAUUUCUUUCACACUCCACUCCCUCAUACCUUCCUCCCCCUUCCUCCCCACGAGCUGCUGCUUCUCCUUAGCUCCAUGGCCGGCCAUGUCCAUGGAAAGCCACCAAGAUGAAGCUCCCCUCCUUCCUCAAGCUUCCCCUCACCAUGAGAGCUUCCCUCUCACUCUCUUCUCCCCUAAUCUUUGAUGAAUCCAGCUCUCUUUCUCCUUUCUCCUCUCACUAGAUUGGAUCUUGAUGCAGGUGCAUGUUGGUCCAAGCAUGGAGAAGGUUGAGCUAUCCUCAGAUCUGAAGUUCUUGAGCAAAAUCCAAAUCGAGUGAUUCAAAGUUCCACAGAUAGGUAUUGAAAAGAUCUACAACUUGGCGCUGGUCUCAUGCUCAAAUUCUUUAAGGAUUUUGCAUGAUCAAGAUCUGGUCAGAUCUGACUUUGUUGAAUUAAACCAGGAGCUUGGAAACGAAUUUUUCGAUGAAACCAAGUGGGGGAUAUUUGGUUUAUACCAUGGUGAUAACCGAGAGAGGCAAUUGCUAAGUUGUGAUGCACUCAUACCUUUACUAGAUGCGAACAAUUCCGGAGAAGAAGAAGAAGAAGUGGAAUCGGAUGAGAAGAUUAUUUAUAUUGUUGGAAUUCUUAUAAUUGAUGGAGUUGAAGAAGUACAUGGACAAAUAAGCCAAG